CAGGAAGUGAUGCAAUGUGAUGCAUGUAGAUGUCUUGAAGGAUUUGCAGCAUGAUGCAGUACUACUUUUACUUGCUGUUAGGACAAGAUGCGCAUGAUUAUAUAAAUGUGGCGCACUCUCAUGCAGAGGU